ACGCUAGCGGCAGGCCUAAUACAUGCAAGUCGAACGAGAUUAAGGGGCUUGCUCCUUAUGAAAGUGGCGCACGGGUGCGUAACGCGUAUGCAACCUACCUUAAUCAGGGGGAUAGCCCGAAGAAAUUCGGAUUAACACCGCAUAAAAACACAGAAUAGCAUUAUUCAAUGUUCAAAUAUUUAUAGGAUUAAGAUGGGCAUGCGUGUCAUUAGCUAGUUGGCGGGGUAACGGCCCACCAAGGCGACGAUGACUAGGGGAUCUGAGAGGAUGACCCCCCACACUGGUACUGAGACACGGACCAGACUCCUACGGGAGGCAGCAGUAAGGAAUAUUGGUCAAUGGAGGCAACUCUGAACCAGCCAUGCCGCGUGCAGGAAGACGGCCCUAUGGGUUGUAAACUGCUUUUAUCUGGGAAUAAACCUUUCUACGUGUAGGAAGCUGAAUGUACCAGAAGAAUAAGGAUCGGCUAACUCCGUGCCAGCAGCCGCGGUAAUACGGAGGAUCCAAGCGUUAUCCGGAUUUAUUGGGUUUAAAGGGUGCGUAGGCGGCCUGUUAAGUCAGAGGUGAAAGACGGUAGCUCAACUAUCGCAGUGCCUUUGAUACUGACGGGCUUGAAUGAACUAGAGGUAGGCGGAAUGAGACAAGUAGCGGUGAAAUGCAUAGAUAUGUCUCAGAACACCGAUUGCGAAGGCAGCUUACUAUGGUUUUAUUGACGCUGAGGCACGAGAGCGUGGGGAUCAAAC
rnacentral:rRNA from 1 species